CAGGGCCCCUGUGAUGGAAGAACUGACAGGAUUUCAUAAGCAUCCGGCCCGGGACACGUGGUCAGGGCAGGGAGAAGGGAGAUAAACAGGAUGUCCACCAGGGUGUGCACCUGGGCAGGGUCCAUGGACCAGGUGUGGCAGGGGAAGAGCUGUCAGGACUUGGCAUCUGAUGGGCACUCAGCAGAUAUAGGCUGUGUGAGGGGAGGAGUUUGUGGGGAGGCAGGGCUGCAGCUUUGCUUCCAUCCUGGAGGCCAGGAAUGAGGGAGUAAGUGAGCCAUUGACUCAAUGAAUGAAUGAAUGAGCGAGUGAGUGAAGGAAGGAAG
rnacentral:lncRNA from 10 species